rnacentral:rRNA from 1 species
GCAAAACUUCAAAAAUAGGUCUCAGUUCGGACUGUAGGCUGCAACUCGCCUACACGAAGUUGGAAUUGCUAGUAAUCGUGGAUCAGCAUGCCACGGUGAAUACGUUCCCGGGUCUUGUACACACCGCCCGUCACACCAUGGGAGCUGGUAACACCCGAAGUCAGUAGUCUAACCGCAAGGAGGACGCUGCCGAAGGUGGGAUUAGCGACUGGGGUGAAGUCGUAACAAGGUACC